rnacentral:rRNA from 1 species
CAGCAGCCGCGGGAAAACGUAGGGUGCGAGCGUUAAUCGGAAUUACUGGGCGUAAAGCGUGCGCAGGCGGUUUUGUAAGACAGGCGUGAAAUCCCCGGGCUCAACCUGGGAAUGGCGCUUGUGACUGCAAAGCUAGAGUGCGGCAGAGGGGGAUGGAAUUCCGCGUGUAGCAGUGAAAUGCGUAGAUAUGCGGAGGAACACCGAUGGCGAAGGCAAUCCCCUGGGCCUGCACUGACGCUCAUGCACAAAAGCGUGGGGAGCAAACAGGAUUAGAUACCCCCGUAGUCCCUGUCUCUUAUAC